UCCGCCCCUGGGUCUCUCUGUCUCAUAUAGAAAUUUGUAACAUUCAUUGAAUCAAAAUAAACUGGCCUUCUAUAAUCUGCCUUGUGAAUAUAAGGUUACAAUAAAAUAGGAGCUGCAUUAAGCAAGACAAAUCCUAAUAGGAAAUUUGACAGACAAAAUCAGUUGGCAAUAGUUGUUAUCUUUAGCAAGACGAUCACCUCAGCUUCUAUGAGUACACAACUUACCUAAGAAGAUAGCAUUUGAAAAGGAGAAGAAUUUGUG
rnacentral:lncRNA from 1 species